UCUAAAACAGGAAUCUGGUUGCACUUCUGUUUGAGGCUUUAAAGCCUUCUUACUACAGAUCUAGAAUAAAACUAGACCCUGGUGCACGCCUUUAAUUCCAGUACUUGGGAGGUAGAGGCAGGUGGAUCUCACAGAGCUAGUUCCAGGACAGCCAGGACUACAAAGAGAAACCCUAUCCCGAAAAAACAAAGAACAAAAACCUAAACCGUGGCGUAGCAUGGGAGACCAGCCGGUUACCUUCUCCAGCAGCAUCUUGUCCUUCCUGGAGUCCUGUUUCUAGUGGUCUGACUGCAUAGUUCCUCCCCAGCACGCCCCAGGAUGCCGCCUUCUCCCUUCCAUGCUUGCACAGGGACGGACGCCUUCCCUGACUCAUUCUCUGAGAGCUUUGGGAUUCCCCAUCCUAUUGCUUUCUUGCAGCCUGUCCUGCUUUCCCACUGACUUCUCCUCCACCUCUCUCCACCUACCCCCACUUAUAUCCAGCAGUAUCCUAGGGGUUGGCCGGCUGGUUUCCAGUCAGCAAGAGCUCUGCCAGGCAUGCGCCAGGUGAGGGGUGGGGUGAAUGGAACUCUUUUGUCGGGUGGAUCUCUUUAUGUAAACUCAAUUGGGAGAAGAAAAUUUUCUUUAUUGUGGGACUUUUCGAGAUCUGUAAAGCAUAUCUGCUGAGCUCCCGGGCUUGCCCAUCAUCCCGUUCUGAUGAUUGGUAUUUUGCCAAUCUGGUUUCAUCCUGCUUCCCACCCCUUUUUUUCCUAGAAUAUUUUAAGGCAUCCCUAGACAGGGAGGAAUUUUUUCUCAUGGAAUGUUUAUCAAAUCAGUAACCGCUAAGAACAAGAGCCCUGAAUUUAGCCAUUUUUCUAGCUGGAAUGUGUUUGUUAAUAUUGAGAUACACUAACAGUUGAGCAGUUAGAUGUCAGAAGUAGCCUAGCUCGUGUCUCUCAGCCUUGUCUCUGAUGACACUUUAAAGCAGGGCAUGCUUCGGUGUGAGGGGCUGUCCUGUGUGUAUAAGGCUUUCAGCGGCAUGUCUGUCCUCCACCUACCAGAGCCCAGUGACAUCUCCCACCAUCACACAUACACAGCAAAAUUGCAAAGUAUCUCCCACUGUGGGCUCCUCCCACUCAGCUCCUCCCCUUGAGAAAGGCCAUGGGAGGAUUGCUCAGUAGGCAGGGAAACUUCUGGUUCUGAUGAUGCCUGUUAGUACCCUGGAGAGUAAAGUCAGCUUUCUGUUCCCUGUGCCAUAUCCCAUCAUGCCACUCAGAGCCACUGGGGUUAGGUACAGGCUUCCUAGACAUGAGCCAUUUUACUUUAAGCUUACCCUGGACUUGCUUACAAAUAAAUGAGACUCAGGCUAUGGUUAUUUUAUUUGGCCUUGACAAUUACUGGUGGGGUUACCCCCUAAUCUACUCUUCUAACCUCUGGCCUCCCCACCUCCCCAGCGGUGUACCCCAGUACUUGUUUCUCUUGGCCAUGGCCAUGUGCUCACCACCCAUCUCCCUCAUGGCGGCUUCCUCUCUCUCCCUCGGUUUUCCUCCUCCCCUUUAAAGUCACUCCAAACCUACCUACCUCUACCUCCAGUAAUUAGCUGUAACCAAUUUUGUUUAACCAAUAGUUUUUAAUCAAGAAAUAAGGUUUACACAAUAAACACUGGUAAACAUAAACUGUCAAUCACCACCUAAACCUGUGGGUAUAAAGUGUAACAUUCACUACAUAGCAGAACAGACCUCAGCAAUGGACAGACCUGUGUUCCCCGUGGGUGUGACUCACCGAGCAGGAGAGCCCUUGGCCUGCUUACAGGAGCUCUAGGAAAGCAGCAGCAACAGGGUAGGUUGUUCCAGAUCUACACCCAUGCCCUCAUCAGCCAGGCUGGUGGCCACACCCUUGCACAAGGUACUGCUGGUAGCGGGCAUCUCUCCUGGGGAACAAAUCUUGGAUUCCAGAGCAGUCCAAGGAGCAUUUGUUUCACAGAAAUUACUUUGAAGUCCAUUUUUACCAGAAACCAUCUGUUUUAUAUAAAACAAAAGGACACUGGCGAUUUUCUUCACAAUGGGCUCUCUGCUUAGUUCCUUCAACUCCGCUCACUAAGUAGUAUCUGUAAAACUGUAUGCUAGAGAACAUAAUUCCCUAGGAAGGCACAGCACCUGGCUGGGCCUUAUUUGUUUCCAUUUGUGUAGGGAGAAUCCUGUGUAAGGGAGGCACAAAGGCGGCUCCCCACAAAGAGGUGGGGAGCACACACAACACAGGGCCUGCUUUGCGUGAGGAAAAAGGAAGGAAGGAAAGAAAAUGGAGAACUGACUGGCAUGGAGUCUGUUAUGGAGUUCUAACAGAUGGUUUUCCCUCCUUGGACCCUUUGGGGAAGGCAGGAACAGCCUCGUGCCCACCCCUGGUCAUUUGUUCUUUUCUCUCUUCUUCCUUUUCUUCCUCCUCCUCCCCCUCUUCUUCCUCUUCCUCUUCCUCCUCCUCCUCUUUUUCUUCUUUCCUUCCACCUCCUCUGUCUCUGUUUUUUAGGUAGGGUCUCACUGUGUAGCCCUGGCUGGCCUGGGACUCACUGUGUACACCAAACAGACCAGUCAUGGCCUCACAUGCCCAGCCUCCCCAGCUCUUUAUUAUGUAUCUGUGAGGUGGUUGUCCUGGUACAUGGAAGAAAGCUUGACAUCCAGGCCCUAGCCCAUGUGGAUUAGGAGUCGCUGAGUCCUCUUUUCCUGAGAAGGGGUCCCACACCUGUUAGAGUGUGACCUCAGACAUUUUCACAGAAGGCUUGACUUCCUGUGUGAGUGAUCAGGGACUGGUUUAGUUUGUUCACUCAGACAUGGAGUGAAGGAACAUGGAACAGACAUGCUGUUCCAGCAGCACUGAAAUGCCUCCAUCUUCUUGCUCUGAAACCCUCUGACCUCACACCAUGCCAUGUCAAGCCUUGAGCAAAUAAGCACAAGCUGCUUUGGGUCUGUGCACGGUUUUCUGGUUUCUGUGGCUAUCAGCAGAUCCCUGAAGCUCAACAGUUGAUGAGGCCUCAGACAUCUGUACAUGACUAUGGUGUUUAGUGUGGAAGGAUCAGAUGGGGCAGUUGGGGACUAAGACAGAGCCUCCAAAUAAGGUGAAAGUGGUAGGGAUGACUUUAGCUCAUUCUAAGGGGCCUUGACUUCUACUCUUGCAUCUUCAACAUACAUGUGCUUACAUGUGCGUGCACGCACACACACACACACACAUAUACAUGCAUGCACUACUUUUCAAAGCAGGCACAGUGCAUGGGGAGUUUAGGAGUAUGAAAGCAACUCCCAUGUCUUAAGUUGUUAUGGUUGGCUCUGCUGCCCCUGCACCCCCUAUAAUUGGGAUGCACAAGUAGGGAAGAGCAGAUUUGCUGAUGGAGUGUGGGAGUUUCUGACAUCUGUGCCUGGCCUCUGGGUACCAGUCCGGGCCAAGCAUAGUAUGCCAAGCAGUUAUACUGUGCCUCAAUCCUAUAGAGCUCUUUGACAAGACACUGAGCUGGCCAUCAAGAACACUUU
rnacentral:lncRNA from 1 species